rnacentral:lncRNA from 1 species
CACAAUCUUCUUCUUCUUAUUAUCCUAGUGGAACUUCUACGAGAAACGGCUCUGUGGUAGGGAAAGAAGAGAAAACAGCAAGCGAGUAUUCCAACCGGGAUAUUUUCGGCCUUGUUCCAUCUCACUCUGAAGUUGAAGGUGCCAUGACUGCUCUGCACAAGUGAGUGAUAUUUGUCACGAUUCAAAUCUAUAGUCACCUAUUGGCUUUAACACUAAAUGAACUUAUGACUUGCUAUGUGAAUAGUUUUAUGAAAGGGAUUUCUUCGUCUGACUUGGAGUUGGUGCAUCUGCUGCAAACAUUGGGAUGUGGUGAUAUCAGAAAAUCGCUAUCUCAUGGAUAUGCAAGACUUUUGAAUGCUUUUGGUUUGCUGCAAAGAGAGCCAAUUAUUAUGGUAAAUCUUUUUUACCAACUACAAAUUUGAAUUUCAUAUUGUAAAUUGUCACUUAUAGGGUUUCAAAUUCACUUAGAGAGUGGUGAUGUCUCUAUCAUCUGAUAAAGCGGUGUGGGAUGCUGUUAUGAACAACGAGUUAGUGCGGCAGCUGCGAGAGUCAUGCAUCACUCCAGGUUUAUCUACGUGUGAUGGAGAAGAAUUUUAAUGGCUUAAAAUUGAGUUAAUUUUUGUUUAAUGCUCUUCUCUUCUCUGAACUUGUUUCGCCUUCCGCAGCCGUAACCCGUAGGAUACAAAGCUGUAAUGAAGGAGAGGAUGUGGUUACCUGUAUGUUGAGAUGGAUUAUGGACAUCACUAAAGCCCAAGUUACUCGACUUAUCCAGAAAUUUCGGCUGUUGAUGAACGAGAUUUUCCAACCUUUGGAGAGGGAGAAACACACUGAAGAAAGCACAGGUGAGACAGAUGACAGAAUUAGAUCAUCGUUGCUUCUCUCCAUUGUGAUCCUCUUGAUUGUAGUAGUGACCAGGAUUCAAAGGGCUUGACCACAUGAUAG